UACAGAGGGUGCGAGCGUUAAUCGGAAUUACUGGGCGUAAAGCGCGCGUAGGCGGCUUUGCAAGUCGGGUGUGAAAUCCCCAGGCUUAACCUGGGAACUGCAUUCGAGACUGCAUUGCUAGAGUAUGGGAGAGGGGGAGUGGAAUUUCCGGUGUAGCGGUGAAAUGCGUAGAUAUCGGAAGGAACAUCAGUGGCGAAAGCGACUUCCUGGACCAAUACUGACGCUCAUGUGCGAAAGCGUGGGGAGCAAACAGG
rnacentral:rRNA from 1 species